AUUGAACGCUGGCGGCAUGCCUUACACAUGCAAGUCGAACGGCAGCACGGGAGUAAUCCUGGUGGCGCGUGGCGAACGGGUGAGUAAAGCAUCGGAACGUGCCCAGUCGUGGGGGAUAACGUAGCGAAAGCUACGCUAAUACCGCAUACGAUCUGUGGUUGAAAGCGGGGGACCGUAAGGCCUCGCGCGAUUGGAGCUGCCGAUGUCAGAUUAGGUAGUUGGUGAGGUAAAGGCUCACCAAGCCGACGAUCUGUAGCUGGUCUGAGAGGACGACCAGCCACACUGGGACUGAGACACGGCCCAGACUCCUACGGGAGGCAGCAGUGGGGAAUUUUGGACAAUGGGCGCAAGCCUGAUCCAGCAAUGCCGCGUGCAGGAUGAAGGCCUUCGGGUUGUAAACUGCUUUUGUACGGGGCGAAAAGACUUCCACUAAUACUGGGGGCUCAUGACGGUACCGUAAGAAUAAGCACCGGCUAACUACGUG
rnacentral:rRNA from 1 species